UACCAGCACCCCGAGUGGUCGGGACGAUUAUUGGGCCUAAAGCAUCCGUAGCCGGUUCUGCAAGUCUUCCGUUAAAUCCAGCCGCUCAACGGCUGGGCUGCGGAGGAUACUACAGGACUAGGAGGCGGGAGAGGCAAGCGGUACUCGGUGGGUAGGGGUAAAAUCCUUUGAUCCAUUGAAGACCACCAGUGGCGAAGGCGGCUUGCCAGAACGCGCUCGACGGUGAGGGAUGAAAGCUGGGGGAGCAAACCGG
rnacentral:rRNA from 1 species